GUGAAGUCCCCAUGCAGCAUUUUGGCCUUUUCAGGUGGCUCCAUAGAGAUAGCAGCACGUCCCAGUAGAAGAUGCCUGACCUUCCCAAGGAGCUGCACCCUGUGUGGAGCACCGAGCGGAAGAACAGCGGGUUCACUGACAUUGCCUCAUCCCAAAGCCAGCGGUGACAGCAGAGAAAACACAGCCGCACACAGCCCCAGACCCCAAAGCUCCUCUCAACCAUCAGGCCCCAAACAGGACAACUCGACAGCUCAACCUGCCUGCACACAACCUCAGCUCUGUCCUGCCCAAGCCAGCCUUCACCUUGAGAACUGAAAAGUUGACACUGAACAGAUUUUCCUCCAGAGUCCUCGACACAAAAGCUACAUCUGAGAGCGUUUAACUCCAAACUCCAAAGAUGCAAACAGUCAAGAGAACCCAGGAAGAGUGAGGCCUGCACAGCACAGUGCAGGGGCCCUCAGGACAGAAGCCCUAGAGGCCUGGAUAGCAC
rnacentral:lncRNA from 1 species